GCGAAAAGGCAUGAAGCUGGGAGUCGCUCUGGUCGGUACGAACGUGCAGCACUGAGGGAAUGGAGCUGUUCCCCCCGGCGCUGUGUGUGCGUGUUGCUCCACUUCAGAUGGUUGGAUCAGUAUUGCAACAGGGGGCACGAGUCGCUUAACUUUAUGCUCCCGUAAAUGGAGCAGGAGGCAGGACAGUCAAUCCCUCAACCAAUUACAUCCACAGUAUCAAUGGUUAAACCGAUUGUCACCUCGCCCUAUCUGCCCAUGGGGACUUCUCGCCCGUUCUUUAUUGGGAGACUCAAGAGACCGCAUGUAAGGAGAGCGAGAAGUGAUUUGCUUGGAACAUGUAAGUUUCUAAGGAAUAUCAGCAAGUUCCUGAUAGAAACUACUUCCAAAUAUCUCAAAAGGAGACUGAGCUUCAUUACUGUAUUUAUCCGACCUUCCUGCCUUCAGGUUUUAUGGCUGUUCCGAUGAAGCCGGGUGAAGAGGUAUUUUGUUUUCAUUUAUAGGAGUUUCUCGAGGACGUAACAAGCAGGAUGAACAAAGCUGCCCAUCACCUCCUCUGGUACCCCUUUCUCCCACUGAGCUUCCAGCUUCACCACCUCACCCUCAGUGUGUGUGCAGUGGAACAGAGGCAGAUUCGAGGCCUGCCCACCUGAACUGAGAGUGAGGUUUGAUCAACGUCAGUACUGGGCUGAAUCGCAGUGCUGGGACCCAGGCCCAGAGCGUAUCGAAGCGAUCGGUCCCCGGUCUUUGAGGGAGGAACGACCUGAUAUUUGGGCAACUUAAACGCUGGGCCGGAUUGAAAAGGCAAGGUGUCAGGACCAGAGGGGAGCUUGCUGGCUACUUUACAUUACAAACGGCUAGAAUUCAACAGUUCUUCAGAAGGUUGAGAAGCAUCUGUGGCAGGAAAGAAAUAGUAAGUCUUUCUGGUCAAAAACUUCAGUCAGUCCCUAAAUCAUCACUCUGAGUUGACUCAGAGGGCCUUCUGGCUUGCACGUCAAACUGGAACUCGUGCAAAUGUAACAAUUUUAGUGUACUAAAAGCAGAACUAUACAAGUAUACCAGAAUAUGAUUCUCUGAAAGUGGCGCUGCAGGUAGAUAGGGUGAUGAAGAAGGCUUCCUGCAUACUGACCUUCAAGAUUCAACACAUUGAGUUUACAGUUGCUGUGGGACCCUACUGCGGGAGAUGCAGGAGUCUUGAGUCCCGUCUCGGCCUGAAACGUUGACUGCUCGUUUCCAAGGAUGCUGCCCGACUUGCUGAGUUCCUCCAGCUUUUUGUACGUGUCGCUUUGAGUCCCUCGCCACUGGGUCCAGGAAUAGUUGUUACCCAACAGCCAUCGGGCUCCUGGACUGGCGUGGAUGGCUCCGUGCACCUCAGCUCCAUAACUUGUGGACUCUGCAGCACGUUCUCAGUAUUAUAUGCUUCAUUUGUCCUUGUGUUCGUCGGUCUUGGUGCUGUUAUUUUUCAUGGGUUCUAUUGUAUUUGGGGAGGUCCAGGACCAGAGGGCACAGCUUCAGACGAGAGAGAUGUUCAGUUAGUACGGAGAUAAGGAGGAAUUUCUUUAGCCAGAGGGUGGUGAAUCUGUGGAAUUCAAUGCCACGGAUGUACCAGGUCAUUGGGUACAUUUACAACUGAGGUUGAUUGGUUCUUGAUUAGUCAGAGUGUCAAAGAUAAUGGGGAGAAUGGGGUUGAGAGGGAUAAUAAAUCAGCUUUGAUGGAAUGGUGGAGCAGACUCAAAGUUCAAAGAACAUUUGUUGUCAAAGUAUGUAUACUAUACAAUCUUGAGAUUUGCCUCCUUACAGGCAGUCACAAAACAAAAAUAACCCAAUGGAACUAUUUCUUUUAAAAAGACUGUCAAACACCCAGUGUUCCAAAAAAAAACCAACAAAUAGUGCAAACAAUGACAGUAAGCUAGUAGCAUUCAGAACUGAAGUUACUGAAAGUGAAUUCACAGCCACGAAGCCAGUCACAAUCCAGGAGACCGUUAGUUGCAGACGGAGACCCCACUCAGUGCAGAGAGGUUGAAGUUGAUAUUAACAUAUUGGAUUAAAGUGAGGGGGCGAAGAAAUUAUCAUCCUGUUAAAGCUAUGUUGGAGAUCUAUUGGGAAUAUCACAAGAAGUGUUUAGUUUUGGGUGGCUGGGUUCUUAACGUGCUGGGAAUAUGGGUUUGUUGGAUUAUGCAACAUGUGAUUUUAUCUGUAACCCCACCUUUUUCCUCCUAAUUACUUUAGUUCAUUUUAGGUUACACAAUUUAAUAAAGUCGAAGGAUUCUGUUAUGCCUGAGGGUCUGUUGGUUCAUCCAUAUAUUAAGAAAAAUAUUACGGUAUGGAUCAAAGGGUAAUUUAACUGGGAAUGUUGAAGUGGUUGUUUUUGUGCCUGACUUAUAGGUAAUGAUAAAGAAGUGACCUCCCUACCAUUUAUCAGAAUAUACAGCAGAAUUGAUUGCCAUCAUUUUGGGCUACCAGUGGGUGGAGGAAAUUUCUCCUUGUAGAGUUAUGCUGCCUGGCCUGCUGAGUUGCUCCAGCAUUUUGUGUGUGUUGUGUAGUGCAUUUACAUCGGCGAGCAAGUAUGAAAACUACAGGAGAAGAAGGAUUUAUAAAAGAUUGUGAAUUUACAUGGGACAGCAAGUAUGAAAACUACAGGUAGAAAAGCAUUUAUAAAAGAUUGUGCAUUUGCAUCUGUGAAUCUAUCUGCCAGCAACUAUGAAAAUUGCAGAAGUAUUUAUUAAAGGUUAUGGGUUUAAAUCCUAUGAAGCUUUCUAUAGCAACGAGCUGCAGGAAGGGAUGCACUGAUGAUGGGAAUUGAAUUAUAAUUGGAAGCUUAACCAGCAUCAUUGGAAAAAUCACAAACACAAGAAAAUGUGCAGAUGCUGGAAAUCUAAGCAGCACGUGCAAAAUGCUAGAGGAACUCGGCAGGCCAGGUAGCAUCUAUGGAAAAGAGUGAACAGUGGACGUUUUGGGCCGAGACCCUUCAUCAAGGCGGAUCAUUCAAAAAAUGCUAGCUGCUUUGUUCAGUUACUGUGUUCUGCUCUUCUCACUAUCGGCUAGAACACUCCUAGUCAACAGGAGGAAACAAGAAUUUCAGUACCAGUGGUUAUGCUGAAUUUGAAAUUCCAUCUUCAAGAAACACCAUCUUAAGGACUUAAAGUUUCCAAUUAACCUGCCUAUGCACCUAUUUCAAGAACAAUUUGAUUUUUUUCUGCAGAACAUUUAUUAAUGGAUUUGUAAAUGAAACAAAGUUGAUUUUUGACAUCUAUGCCCUUAAAUAAAUAGGAUGAUUGUCUUCUA